CGCUGCGCGGCUGCGUGAAAUUACCCUAAAAAAAAAAAAGAAAGAAAAAAAAAGCACCCCCCCCACCCCCUCUCCUUCCCUCCUCUUCUCUCCUCUCGGUCUGUGUGGUGCGCGCUCCUGAAGUCGCGUUCACGUUUGGCAGCUCCACGUCGACAUUCUUCCAGCUGCAUAUAGUGAACUGCUCAGCACAGCACUGGGGGAAGAAAAGGUAAAAGCGGAGGUAGUCACCUUAGGAUCAGAGCGCUGCAAGUCCACACUCGGUCAUUUACCGCUCUGAAAAAGGGGGCUUUGCAUGCAGUGAAUCUGUAGCUAUGGCCUGCAAUGUCCUCAGCUCGUUUUCAGUUUUCUUAGCUUUUUUUUUUUUUUUUUUUAUGAGCUGAUCUAGACCACCUCGUGUUGGAUUGCAGCUGGUUCCUGACGUCUACCUAUUUCAGGUUGAAGGAGCACCUAGUAGCGAGGAAGCUAAGGUUCCACACAAGGACAAACCUGUGAGGUGGCACUGCUGUGGCUUUCCAAAUAAAGUUCUGUGAUACACUCAGACUCUAACUGCCUGCAGUCAGUGCAUUACAGAACUUUGUUUUGGGAGUGAAUGCAUCUGCAAACAUUUGGACAUUUCACUUUCCAGUCUAACAUAGCGUGUUUGUUUGUUUUACGUGUUGAUUUAUUAAAGUUUUCCCUAAUGUUUUAUGUC